GACGAACCGUGCGAACGUUAUUCGGAAUCACUGGGCUUAAAGGGCGCGUAGGCGGGCUCGCCAGUCAGGGGUGAAAGCCUCCAGCUUAACUGGAGAAGUGCCUUUGAUACUGCGAGUCUCGAGGGAGGUAGGGGCGUGCGGAACUUCCGGUGGAGCGGUGAAAUGCGUAGAUAUCGGAAGGAACACCGGUGGCGAAAGCGGCGCGCUGGACCUCUUCUGACGCUGAGGCGCGAAAGCCAGGGGAGCAAACGGG
rnacentral:rRNA from 1 species